GGAUUAAUACUCUAUGUUUUCCAAUGCAGACAUCUAAGUUGGAACAAAGGUUCACCGCUAUAGGAUGGGGAUGCGUCUGAUUAGGUUGUUGGCGGGUAACGGCCCGACCAAGCCAACGAUCAGUAGGGGUUCUGAGAGGAAGGUCCCCCACAUUGGAACUGAGACACGGUCCAAACUCCUACGGGAGGCAGCAGUGAGGAAUAUUGGUCAAUGGGCGAGAGCCUGAACCAGCCAAGUAGCGUGCAGGAUGACGGCCCUAUGGGUUGUAAACUGCUUUUAUUGCGGGGAGUAAAAUUACGUCACGUGUGGCGUUUUGUCAGGUACCGCAUGAAUAAGGACCGGCUAAUUCCGUGCC
rnacentral:rRNA from 1 species